GAGUUAGGGUUCGUCCAACGAGCCCGACCUCCCAACCCUUUGUCUAUCUUACCUUGUCGUUGCUUCGGCGGACCGGUCGCGACCAACUGGUCGUGGCCGUCGGGGGUCCAUCCCCUGGAGAGCGUCCGCCGAUGGCCCAACCACAAACUCUUGUAUCAAACCAUGUCGUCUGAAUUACUUGAUUAAAAUCAAAUAACAAAACUUUCAACAACGGAUCUCUUGGUUCU
rnacentral:misc_RNA from 1 species